UACGAAGGGGGCUAGCGUUGCUCGGAAUCACUGGGCGUAAAGCGCAUGUAGGCGGAUCUUUAAGUCAGGGGUGAAAUCCUGGAGCUCAACUCCAGAACUGCCUUUGAUACUGGGGAUCUCGAGUCCGGAAGAGGUGAGUGGAACUCCGAGUGUAGAGGUGAAAUUCGUAGAUAUUCGGAAGAACACCAGUGGCGAAGGCGGCUCACUGGUCCGGUACUGACGCUGAGACGCGAAAGCGUGGGGAGCAAACAGG
rnacentral:rRNA from 1 species